rnacentral:rRNA from 1 species
UACGUAGGGUGCAAGCGUUAAUCGGAAUUACUGGGCGUAAAGCGUGCGCAGGCGGUUUUGUAAGUCUGUCGUGAAAUCCCCGGGCUCAACCUGGGAAUGGCAGUGGAUACUGGCAAGCUAGAGUGCGGUAGAGGGUAGUGGAAUUCCCGGUGUAGCAGUGAAAUGCGUAGAGAUCGGGAGGAACACCAGUGGCGAAGGCGGCUACCUGGACCAGCACUGACACUGAAGCACGAAAGCGUGGGGAGCAAACAGG